UACAGAGGGUGCGAGCGUUGUCCGGAAUCACUGGGCGUAAAGGGCGCGUAGGCGGCUCAGUAAGCGUGCGGUGAAAGCCCGGGGCCCAACCCCGGGUCGGCCGUGCGAACUGCAGAGCUGGAGCACUGUAGAGGCAGGUGGAAUUCCGGGUGUAGCGGUGGAAUGCGUAGAGAUCCGGAAGAACACCGGUGGCGAAGGCGGCCUGCUGGGCAGUGGCUGACGCUGAGGCGCGACAGCGUGGGGAGCAAACAGG
rnacentral:rRNA from 1 species